AGAGGUGGUGGGACACCACCGAUUCAUUCCACCUCUCCGUCGCGGGAGACAUGACGAUGACUCCCUAUGACUUCUCGAUGCUCACCGGCAUCGGGGUAGGGGGUGAUCCAAUCCCCUUCGACAUAGAGAUGGAUGAGUGGUACGCGGCCCAGAUACACUUGCUUGGCACUCAGCCGCCACUCGCUCGGGCAGGAUAUGUGCGAUAUUCGUGGUUCGAGAGCCACUUCUGGGAUCAGGCGCCGACCACUCGGGUAGGGGAGGAGCAGUACGCACGCGGCUUCCUCAUAUUUCUAUUGGGGACGACCAUUUUUGCCGAUUGGGGGAACACCGUGCCCCUCUGCUUGCUGAGCGCUCUGGUGGACGUGACCAGGAUCCUGCGCUAUGACUGGGGUGGGGCAGCCUUAGCCACACUCUACAGGUACAUGAGCUCAGCCUCCCGUUGCAGUGGGCAGUUGCUCGGGGGUUACUGGCGAGCUUGGGAGUUGUGGGUCUACGCCUACUUUCCGAGGCUCGCGUCAGUGCCUGAUGAGGAGACCCCUCUCGUUGUUCCGUUCUAGUGCCGCUUUGACGUGAGGUGCGUGCGGAGGCCCCGGGAGACGUUUAUCUUCUUCCGCCGCUACUUCGACACCAUCACCCCUGCAAAGAUCACUUGGCAGCCUUGGGCUCCAUUGCCUGCGAUGAUUCGAGAUCGA